rnacentral:rRNA from 1 species
ACUGGGAUUAGAUACCCCACUAUGCUUAGCCCUAAACAUAGAUACUAACCUACUUAUUUUAUCCGCCUGGGAACUACGAGCGUCAGCUUAAAACCCAAAGGACUUGGCGGUGCUUUAGAUCCACCUAGAGGAGCCUGUUCUAGAACCGAUAAUCCCCGUUAAACCUCACCUUUCCUUGUUCUUAUUCCGCCUAUAUACCGCCGUCGUCAGCUUACUCUGUGAAGAUCCCAUAGUAGGCACAAUCGGUACAGCCCAAAACGCCAGGUCGAGGUGUAGCGUAUGGAAAGGGAAGAAAUGGGCUACAUUCAGUAAUUUAAUGAAUACGGAUGACAUCCUGAAAAAAAUGUCUGAAGGAGGAUUUAGCAGUAAGUGGAGAAUAGAGUGCUCUACUGAAUCUGGCCCUGAAGCGCGCACACACCGCCCGUCACUCUCCCCGAGCUAAUAAAAGCACAUAAYUAAUAAACGAGACCUGCAAAGGGGAGGCAAGUCGUAACAUGGUAAGUGUACCGGAAGGUGCACUUGG